ncrna:unclassified sequences Glutamine riboswitch
AUCGUUCAUCCUUACUUGUAAGGACGGAAGUAGACGAAAGUUGAAGGAACGCGCC